GGGCCAAACAUUUUGGGUGUUGCAAUUUUAGCCAAGCGGCUUGUUGUGUGGGAACGUUUCCUUCAAAGUGUUGCUUGCACUUUGUAGUGCAUUGUAACAAUGAGCCACGAAGGAGACGGCAGGUCUUCGAGGGUACGAAUUUACACUUUUUCAUUUUUUUUAAGCGUGUGUGUGCGCGUGCGCUCGUAUGACAUUGAUGAAGUCAAUCUUUUCAGGUGUAGCAGCAGACCCAUAUCGCCAUCACCUGGGCCGGUGGACUCCACGACGCCAAGAAGUCCGAAGCAUCUGGUUUCUGUUACGUGAACGACAUCGUCCUGGCCUUAAGCUGCUCAAGACACCGGGACUGGAAAGAGUAAAUACUACGCAGUGAAUUACCCUCUCAGAGAUGGUAUCGACUAUGAGUCGUACGAAGCCGUCUUUAAGUCGAUCAUGACCAAGUAAUGGAGAUGUACCAGCCGAGCGCAGUGGUCCUUCAGUAUGGAGCCGAUUGAUCCUCACUGUUAAAGGUAUGAAAAGAAAUGAUUUAACGCCUUUCACAGGUAUUGACAAAGUAGUGACACCAACUGGACAAAUUCAAUACAGACAAGAUUGAUGCAAACAGUUUUAGAAGUGUAUAAAGUUUAUUGAAUAAAUCAGAAGUUUAAUGUUAAGUAGAAAAUGAAGGUUGCUCCUAGGCUUCGUUUACACGACUGUUUCAAUGCCUGUCUUACUGAACUGUAACCAUGAAAUUGACAUUGCUGUUUUAAUACCUAUAUACCUUUAAAACCUAUUUGUAUUUGAUCAAUGACAAUGCAUUUUUCUUCAUUUUUGGGAGUUUUUUUAAAUUGUAAGCACAAAAUAGGUCAUUGGUUUGUUUUAAGGCAAAUUUACUUUUUCAGAAUGGAAAGCAAUCUGUUAGUAUAUGUUGCCUUUGAUCAACAGUUGUAUCCAAGAAUAUUUGAUUGCAUUGUGUGUGCAGUUUCAGUAAAUGAUCAUGCUAAAGAGUUUUAGCAUUUUGUUGAAACUGCAGCCUUUUUAUGUUGAGAAAUAUCCACAUGUUCCCCAUCAGGUGGAGUUUCUUGGUAGAUUAAUGCUUUUGUUAUUGAGAGUUUAACAUGAUGUUGUGGACUCCUUUUAGGCCCUGCCAGUAAGCAACCUUUAUGUGUAACUUUUUGGCCAGUGAGGAUAGCCUGUGAGGAGGAAGUUGCAGG